rfam:Gossypium arboreum cultivar AKA8401 contig_46865_1, whole genome shotgun sequence.
AUCCCAUGAUGAGGACACUUACGCAGUAACUCCUUGAAUCGCUCCCAAGCCUCAUACAAAGACUCAUCAUCCAAUUGUUGGAAGGUUGUGAUCUCGUUCCUCAACUU